CAGGGUAGACCCUGUGAACCGAAGUCAUGGUCUCAGUCGUCGCUAGUUUCUCUGAUCUAGUACUCUACAUGCUGCUAUGAAUGUUUUAGCAAGCAGAGGGAGAGUCAGGCCUUGUUUAGUUUGCAAAAAUUUUCAAGAUUCCCCAUCACAUCGAAUCUUUAGUCGCAUACAUAGAACAUUAAAUAAAGAUAAAAAUAAAAACUAAUUACACAGUUUAUCUGAAAUCUAUGAGAUGAAUCUUUUGAGUUUAGUUACUCCGUGAUUGAACAAUGUUUGUCAAAUAAAAACGAAAGUGCUACAGUAGCAAAAAAAAAAAACCAAAAUUUUGCCGACUAAACAAGGACUCAGUCAUCGUCUCCUCUUGAGGCUUGUGUAUGGUACAGCACGGCCUUCCUCCAAGUCCAAGUCCAUGUGCGCCACUGCCUGUUUUUCCACUGUCUCCCUAGAUCACGGUGAUGGUUAGAGCAUCUCCAACCAUUAUGCAUUUGAAUUUAUACAUUUUAGGCAAAUUGCGAAUUCCCAAAUGAAAAUGACAAGGCUAAAAUCGGAUGAUCUCCAACCGUUAUGUAAAAUGCCAAGUCCAUCAUCUUUUUUUUCCCGGAAAUUUUGUUUCGCGGCACUCCUUCCCGCGCGGCCUCGAUCCCGCGCCAAACAGCCCGCCGUCGUCUCCCGUUCACCAAUUCCCGCGCCAAACAGCCGCGCAGUACCGACCGUGAGUUGCGCAGUUCGUCGUUCCCGUUCGCAGUACCGAUCUCCCGUUCCGUUAGUUCCCGUUCACCGUACCGUCUGUUGGCCAUCAGUUCGUCGUCGUACAGGUUCGCCCCUUGGCUCCAGUACCGAUCUCCAUCAGGUCGCCGCCAUCAGUCAAGCUGGCGAAGGAGGACGCACGAUGCUUCUCCUAUCGCGUGAAGUGGUGGCGGCGCGAAGGGAAACCGCGCGAAGGGAAGAAAAAAGCUCGCGAGGUGGAACCGAGAAUCCCUUAAUCUCUAUUUGCAUAGCCGGACUCCUUUGGCAUAUAUGCCAAAUUUCCCCCUCCAAAUGCAUAGCUAUGUAAAAUGCAAAGUCCAAAUGCAUAACGAUUGGAGGGGUUUUUUUGGAGUUUUAUGCAUUUUGGUAAAUGCCAAGUCCAUUUGCAUAAUGGUUGGAGUUGCUUUUAUGUUUGCAACUGGAGACUAGUGCAAGCGAAUCUGCUGGGCUACCAAACUAGCAGUCCACUGGUUCAGUUCAGUUCCUGUCAAUUCUUCGGAACAAACCUUCUACUCCCUCCAUUCUAAUUGGAAAUCAUUCCAAGAAUCACGUAGAGUCAAAGCAUUCUCACGUUUGACCAAAAUUAUAGAGAAAAAUAAUAAGAUUUGUAAUGUAAAGUGAGUAUACUAUAAAAAUAUAAUUGAGCAAGAAUCUAAUGAUAUUUAGUUAGUAUCAUAACAAUAAUUAUUUUAUCAUAUAAAUUUGGUCAAACUUAGAAAAGUUUGACUCUGCAAGAUUCUUGGAAUGACUUACAAUUUUGGAUAGAGGGAGUACGUUACUUCGUAGUAGCACGUUCAAACCUUCAGAUGGACGGGAUCAAAUAAGUUCUUUCCAUCGAGCUUAAACCGAUGAAGAUUCGCAAUUACCGAAAUUGGUUGGCUCAUCAUACUCUGCAGUUCUUCAAGAGAAACGAAUGAGUCCGUUAACAUUCCAACUUCAUUAUUCAUGGAUGCCAGAUUCCGGAAAGAAGAGGAUGAGGAAACCAUGCAUAGAAACACGCUUCCAGAAUGCAGAGUUGUGAGAAAACUAAGCGUAAAACACAUUUCCACACUAAUAAAUUGGGUGGAGUUCUCCUAGUGUCUUUAAUUAGUAAUAAAAUACUACCAGUAGUCAUAACACUAGAGAAUACUCAAUAAGAUAAGACACAUUAAGAGAGAAAGUUUGUACUAAAUUUUGAAUGCUAAAACACUAGGAGAAGACCACAUUACUGAGAAAUUGAAAAUUUUGGUUGUGCCAUAACACUGUCAUAGGAAAAAAAAACACAACCAUAGAAUCAACGGUCCAGUCCUAGUCAACAUGGGAGGCAAUGCACCUGGCCAUCUGCGCGUUUCCACUUUACAGCACAGACACACAGCAGGCAGUACAUGUAAGAAUAGCGAUUCAGCAGAGUGCAUGAUGGCAUGGGACCUGAUGAUCCGAGGGAGGCAAUGCAUCUGGCCAUCUGCGUGUUUCCAUAUGUACUGCUAGUAUUGUUUGCUGAUUUAUUGUGAGAGAAAAAUACUACUGACUGGUACAAAAAAUACGGCUUAUAAGACAACCGACCGGAGCCUCAUUAUCAGUCAGAGCAACCAAUAAGCUCUACGCCGCCGCUGCUGCUGGCAAUGAACCGAAAGCCACCACCGGCCAUGGUGCUCCUCAGAAUCAGGCGCUUGCUCCAGCUGCUCCUACUGACCUCCGCUGCAGCAACAACCAGUGCAACGAUCUAUUCGCCAGGCCAUGGCCAUGGCCAUGACCAUGACGAUGAGAGAGCUCUUCUGUCACUCAAGGCCAAGAUCUCCCGCCACUCUGGCGUCCUGGAUUCGUGGAACCAGAGCAGCAGCUACUGCAGCUGGGAGGGCGUCACUUGCGGCAAGAGACACGCGUGGCGGGUGGUCGCUCUGGACCUCAGCUCCCAGGGGCUCGCCGGCACCAUCUCCCCCGCCAUCGGCAACCUCACCUUCCUGCGCUUACUCAACCUGAGCUACAACAGCCUUCAUGGCGAGAUACCUGCUAGCGUUGGCUCCCUCAGGCGCCUUCGACGUCUUCACCUGAGCGGGAACAUGAUCACUGGUGUCAUCCCGAGUAACAUCAGCCGCUGCAUCAGCCUCCGUGGGAUUAUCAUCCAAGACAACAAAGGCCUGCAGGGAAGCAUCCCAGUUGAGAUUGGCAGCAUGCCAGCGCUCUCAGUUCUUGCGCUGGACAACAACAGCAUUACCGGAACCAUCCCGUCGUCUCUUGGGAAUCUUUCACGGCUGGCCGUGCUGUCCUUGCCAAGGAACUUCCUCGAGGGACCAAUCCCUGCAACCAUCGGCAACAAUCCAUAUCUCACCUGGCUUCAGCUCUCUGCUAAUGACCUCUCUGGCUUGCUCCCUCCUUCCCUAUACAACCUAUCAUUUCUUCAGGACUUUUUUGUGGCUAGCAACAAGCUGCAUGGCCAUCUACCAACUGACCUGGGGAAAAGCCUUCCGAGCAUCCAACAGUUUGGGAUUGGAGAAAACCGAUUUACUGGCACACUUCCACUGUCACUGACCAAUCUCUCAAAGCUCCAGACUCUUUAUGCCGGAUUCAAUAGUUUUACUGGAAUUGUUCCCACCGGAUUGAGCAGAUUGCAAAAUCUUGAAUCACUUCUUCUGGAUGACAAUAUGUUAGAGGCAAAUAACGAGGAGGAGUGGGCAUUUAUUGAUUCUUUGGCGAAUUGUAGCGGGUUACAGACACUGUCCAUUGGAAGGAACAGGCUUGCGGGGAAGCUGCCAGGUUCUGUGGCAAAUUUGUCCACUAAUCUCCAGUGGCUACAGAUUCCCUACAACAACAUAUCGGGUGUCAUCCCAUCAGAUAUUGGAAAUUUGGCAAGUCUUCAAAUGCUUGAUUUUCGCAUAAACUUGCUCACUGGGGUCAUUCCUGAAAGCAUAGGGAAGCUUACAUUACUGCAGAAGCUAGGCCUGAUUUCAAACUCCCUCUCAGGACGUCUGCCAUCCUCUAUCGGAAACCUUUCUAGUCUACUUGAAUUUGAUGCAAACGGCAAUAGCUUCUACGGGCCAAUUCCACCAAGCAUUGGAAACUUGAGCAAACUUUUAGGCCUAGAUCUGUCAUAUAACAAGCUUACUGGACUGAUUCCUAGAGAAAUUAUGGAGCUGCCAUCGAUCUCAAUUGAUCUUGAUCUGUCCAACAGCAUGUUGGAGGGAGCACUUCCAUUAGAAGUUGGUAGCUUGGUAUAUCUUGAACAGCUCUUCCUAUCAGGAAACAAUUUGUCAGGUGAGAUACCUGAUACUAUUGGCAAUUGCAGGGUCAUGGAAAUCCUCUCAAUGGAUGGCAAUUCACUCCAAGGAAGCAUACCUGCUACAUUCAAGAACAUGGUAGGCUUGACUGUACUUAAUUUGACGGACAACAGGCUGAAUGGAAGCAUCCCUAGCAACCUGGCUACCCUUACCAACCUACAGGGUUUGUAUCUUGGCCACAAUAAAUUAUCUGGAACAAUCCCAGAGAUUUUAGGUAAUUCAACAUCGCUGCUUCACCUAGAUCUGUCUUACAAUAAUUUGCAAGGUGAAAUACCAAAAGGAGGAGUUUUCAAAAAUUUGACUGGACUAUCAAUUGUUGGUAACAAUGAGUUAUGCGGGGGAAUACCACCGCUCCAUCUGCCAAAAUGCCCAAGCUCUUGCACAAGAAAGAAUAGAAAAGGCAUACCCAAGUUUCUUAGAAUAGCAAUCCCAACAAUAGGAAGUCUCAUCUUACUUUUUCUGGUUUGGGCUGGAUUUCACCACAGAAAGUCCAAGACAGCACCGAAGAAAGAUUUACCAACAGAAUUUCCAGAGAUAGAGCUUCCAAUAGUUCCAUACAACGAUAUACUGAAAGGAACAGACAGAUUUUCUGAAGCAAACGUGCUUGGAAAGGGAAGAUAUGGUACAGUAUAUAAGGGCACCCUAGAAAAUCAAGCCAUUGUUGUAGCUGUUAAGGUAUUCAAUCUCCAGCUAUCAGGGUCAUAUAAAAGUUUCCAGGCGGAAUGUGAGGCACUAAGGAGAGUAAAGCACCGAUGCCUUGUAAAAAUCAUCACAUGUUGUUCAAGCAUCGACCACCAAGGUCAGGACUUUAGAGCACUAGUCUUUGAGUUGAUGCCUAAUGGAAGCUUAGAUAGAUUGAUCCAUUCAAAUUUAGAAGGCCAAAAUGGCCAAGGAGCACUCAGCUUGUCACAGUGGCUGGAUAUAGCUGUGGACAUUGUGGAUGCUUUGGACUAUCUUCAUAACGGUUGCCAGCCAUCGAUCAUCCAUUGCGAUCUAAAGCCAAGUAACAUUCUUCUCAAUCAGGACAUGAGGGCUCGUGUUGGGGAUUUUGGAAUUGCUAGAGUUCUAGAUGAAGCAACAAGCAAACAUCCUGUGAAUUCUGGGAGCACAUUAGGAAUAAGAGGUUCCAUCGGUUACAUUGCGCCAGGUAGCUCUAAUUUGUUGUUCUGUUUCCCAUGUGCUUCACAUGAUAGCAUCCAAUUAAUUAUCCCUAGGCCCAUCAAAUAUUGUACAUACCUACAUGUGUUCAUGUUUUAAUCCAAUGCAGAAUAUGGAGAAGGUCUUGCAGUAUCGACUUGCGGUGACAUGUUUAGUCUUGGUAUCACCUUGCUAGAGAUAUUCACAGCAAAAAGGCCAACAGAUGAUAUGUUCAGAGAUGGUUUAAGCCUACAUGGUUAUGCUGAGGCGGCUCUUCCUGACAAAGUUAUGGAGAUAGCAGAUUCCAACCUAUGGCUGCAUGAUGAAGCAAGCAAUAGCAAUGAUACAAGGCAUAUAACAAGAAGCAGGAAAUGUUUGUCCGCCAUCAUUCAGCUUGGUGUCCUUUGCUCAAAGCAAUUGCCCUCAGAGCGUUUGUCAAUAAGCGAUGCUACUGCAGAGAUGCAUGCUAUCAGAGAUAAGUAUAUUAGUGCUCAGUGAUGUCAGAUUGGCUACCAUGUUUGUCUAAUUUUAUUGUCAAAGUCCAUAUGUAAUAUAUUUGCUUCUUUUUUGCUUGUGAGUUUGUAGACCUUAUAUUAGUUGGUAUUGUUAUGGUGCUGUGUUGCCAAUACCAUAGGCAGCAUCAUUCAUGAAUCAUGAAAGAAAUUUUGAUUAUCCUGAGAAAAAUCCACAUUUCCGACUAGUUCCCACCUCAAAGUUGAACCCCACCGUUAUAAACACAAGAAUGUGCACAAUAUGCAGUAAUUUGCAAAGUUGAAAAAGAAUAUCAUUGUGACAUGCAUUAUGAAACACAUGUGGUGACAUGCUAUUACAGUAAGGCAAUGUGUGGCGACCCACUCCCCUCACAACGCCUAGGCGCAUAAGGUGCGAGGUGAAGCGAUGCCAUGGACAUAUAAUGAACAUGCUAUUACAGUGUUGGAAAAGUGAUCCCGGGCUAGUGGAGAUGGGCCAAUGCCCAGAACCAUUGAGCCCAAGUCAGGGGGGGGGGGGGGGGGGCACGUAGCUCCUCUGUGCGCCAUGAUCGGGGGCGGCCCCUAACAACCUAAGGUUGUGGCCCCAAGCUGAGACUGAGAGGCACUACAUGUAGUGGGAAGACAGUUACCUGUGUGAGUCAACGCAUGCACAAAAGUGCCCUCCCCGGAUCAAGAAGAGGCUGUGCUACGAGGUGGCACUGGUGGAUCAGAGGUGAGGUGGUACGUCUGCAAUCUCGAUCUACUUCGCUGAUGGUGGACUAUCCAGCUCUAGAUUAUGGUUAGUCACCAAUUCACAUUAGAUUAAAUUGUGUCCAAGUGAUUAGAUCAGAGAUCCUGUGGUUCACUCCCCAAUUUAUCCAAUAUUGUGGCAUCCGAGCCAACUGAUCUAGUUGCUGGACCACUGAUGCGUCGAUUUCACCUCGGAUUAAGUUAAUUUUGAGGUGAAAUUACCUGUUUAGUGCCCUAAUUGCUCUCGGUUGUGCUUAAUUAGCCAUGCUGACGAUGUUCCAGGCCCUAUUUAAUCAUGCUCUAAGACAAUUAAGUGUCUGGUUAUGCCUAAACCUAAUUAUGCAUGUUUAGGGCCCAGGUUUAGUUAAUCAUAAUGAUUAGUCACGGGUUAAUGAUGUUGUGCCCAAUUUGAUGCCUACUUGCUAACAGAUUUUAGUCCUAAUAAUUGUGUAUGAAAUCGUGGCAAAAUUCACGUGCGGGGCUAAGGUUCGGAUCAGCAUGUAGACGUGGGGGAGUCAUGUAAAUCUCAAAAAAAACUCUCCAAAUUACCGAACCCUAGAUCAUGAUUUUCGGGAUGAUUACCUCGGUUUGGUGUCGCUGUCGGCUGUCGCUGCUAGGUGUCCGCUCGUGCAGCCUUGCCGGACGCGCCAUCAGGCGUGCGCAGGCGAUCUCGCACGCAUGAGCUGGCAGCCUGGCAGAGUGCCACCGAUGCCACGCGCGCAUCAGGGAGGCACCGCAACUGCGCCGACCGCGGACCACGCCGCGCAUCAGGGUGCCGCUCUCGCGCGGCCGCCGCACAUAAGGGCGGCGACGGAGCCGCCGCGCGCCGUGCUGCACAGGCCAUCACGCGGCUUCCGCUUCGCCACCGUGCUGCACAGACCUCCCGAGCGCAGUCUUCACCGGCACCGGCGACGAGCCGCUCGUCAGAGCCGCACCGCACGCGCGCUCCGGCGAGUGGGCCGUCGCCAGAUUCCCAGCAGCUGACCCUGCUUGCGUGAAAACCAUCGGAUGGUCGUUAUAGUUGCGGGCCAUAAGUGGGCUGGCAAGCUUGACGAGCGGGUAACCGUCAUCGCGGCCCAUUAAGCUAGUGCGGGUGCACGUUAAGCCAGUGUGGUAUGCUUUUAUUGUUUUUUAGCCAUGCGUUUGGC
rnacentral:lncRNA from 1 species